UACGUAGGCAGCGAGCGUUGUUCGGAAUUACUGGGCGUAAAGGGCGCGUAGGCGGGCUUGCCAGUCAGGGGUGAAAUCCUCCGGCUCAACCGGAGCAGGGCCUUUGAUACUGCAAGUCUUGAGGGAGGCAGGGGCAUGUGGAACUUCCGGUGGAGCGGUGAAAUGCGUAGAUAUCGGAAAGAACACCAACGGCGAAAGCACUCUGCUGGGCCGACACUGACACUGAGAGACGAAAGCUAGGGGAGCGAAUGGG
rnacentral:rRNA from 1 species